rnacentral:lncRNA from 1 species
GGUAAACCUCCCUGAGACUCGGUGAUGGCUGCGGUGAGUGGCAGUGUUUGUCAGCCUCAGUCAGCUGAGCUGCACCAGUGGCCACACAAGAACUCCUUCUCAGGAGCCUCUCUCACUUUUCCCUGCAGCACACCCAGUGGCAGUGCUCCUUGUAGUGAUGUAGAACCUUACCAACUGUUUUGAGAAAAGGACUAUAAAUCUGGGAUUUAAUUUAAUUGCCUUGUCUGUUUGACUGAAACUCUUCUGUGUUUAAUUCCAAGUUAAAUUCCUGUCUGCGUUGUGAGGCACUAUCAGAGGAGAGGUCACAAAUGUGAGCCUGCAGCCACUCGUGGUUCCGUCUAGAACUCUUCCGACAGAGCAGUUAGCUUACUUAAUAUCACUGAACUUAGUUUGCUUAUCUGGAAGACUUGGGGUAAAACUCUGUGGUAAAGAAUGAGGGUUAAUAAGUAAUUGACUCUGUUCCUAUCCCUCAUCUUCAUGAGGAAAUGUCAGAAUAACUCAUGGAGCCUGUGCUGUAUUCAAGUCUCUGGAGUAUCUGGUUUGAAUUCUAUUAGUUGAGACUGACCAUCAGUUAUUUAGUGAAGUGGUACCAGUUGGCAAAAAAAAAAAAAAAAGGUGGCUUUAGUGGCAAGGAGAUUACAGGUGUGAGAAAAUGAUGUUCCUUUUCAUAAAGGGAAUGGAGAGACCCAUUUAAGAAGGAAAAAAUGGUUUGAGAAGUCAGAAUUAACAUCUGGAAUAAUACAUUAAGUAGUAGGAAAUUAGCUUAAUUAGGAAACUUGUCUAUUAGAAUUGGAGUAUACCUGGAAGAAAGGAGAUAGAGUAAGUGUGGCAGCACUCCCAGGACCUGUUCACAGAGAUCGGCCUAGGGAUACCAGU